AUUAAUCCCACGGGUUAACGGGUUUAAUCCGUGGGUUCGCGGAUUUAACCACGACUUCGGGUAAAACUUACCUAAACCUAACCCUAAAAGAAACUUGCGAUUAUUCGCGCUUUUCUUCUCCCUUCUUUUUUUUUUUUUUCUCUUUAUUUUCCACCAUCCAUCUUCUGUUCUCGGCACCUCGUCCUUCCUCUUGCGCCAUGCCGCCACCGCGACUAGUUCAGGCUUCCGCCACCACCGUGACAAGUGGAGAACUACAAAAAACAGUUAUAUUAAAUUGAAUUGGGUGAUCUCUUUGCUCUGACAAAGGAACAUUCAGAAAAGGCCAUAGAAAGGCAGUGCGCAUUAUUAAUCAUUACGCCUUCAGUAAGCUGAUUAUGCCCCGGGUAGAGACAUGCAGAGGAAAUGAUGAAAGAUGAAGGUGUACGUAGCUGAUCAAAUGGAAGGGGAAGAACAAACAUCCAUUAAGAGUUAUGAUUGAAGAAAAGUAUUACUCUAAUGUGAGAUAUGCCUCUCCAAGGUGGCAGUUUGUUCUUUAUUAAAUGCUAUUUUGAAUUUAUUAAUAUAGGCAAUGAACGGGCUCGGUGGAUUUCAACCAUAAACCCUUAUGUGUACUGAGAUCAAAAUUUUAUUCACAGUCAAUUACAGUGUAAA